UGGGGUGUGUGUCAGGGCAGUCAUUCGAAAAAUAAGGGAGUGUUCGUUUAGUGCAGAGAGGCUUAUGAAAAACAUGCCAGUGUGUACGGAUACUAUAUGAGACAAACAUUUCAUGUAAAUCUGAUGAUUUUAGUUCCUCCUUGCGAGCUUUCGUUACAUGCAGAAGACCGAUAAUUGUCGCGUAUAUUAGUUUACGGCGCAUUUGUAGAAUCUGGUGAACUUUCCACGUCUCAGGCGCCAACAUCACGACAGUCACCAAAAUAGUUGGGAGUUACGACUCCAUGACGAUGUCAUCCGAGGAGUCGAUAAUCUGAGAUAAGGAAAUAGAAAUGUCUGCUCUAUAGGGGGAAGAUGUAUGGAGUCUUGGGAGGAAAGUUAGUCCUGAAAGGUAGGUGAAGACAGUUCAUGUGAUGCAUGCUGUUGUGAUGAGUAUUCUAGUUUGAGAGGACUGAGAUGUUUGUUUGCAUUUCCUCGGAUUAAAAUGAAACAAGUUUGAUCAGGAAUAGUCUCUUCCCUCUUCCUCCUUUUCGGUGUCCUGUCUGAUGAAGGUGGAUAUCAUCAUUUUGUGGAAGGAUCUUAACACAUCGUCCUCCUGUGAGAGAGACCAUAAACACAUCUGUAUGAGGCGUUGAGUCAAAAUUCAUUUCAUUUAUCGUCAAAGAAGAGGACAUUCUUUUUUGAGAAUUCAAGAAAGAUGAAUCUUCAAGAAUAUCAACAAAUUAUGUAUGUAAAUCAGUGUGUUAUGUUAAUACAUGAAGAUCUAGUCAACAAUGAAAACGAUGAAUAGAAUGAAAUUAUAUACUGAUGUAUC